GAGUUCAUGCCCUUCGGGGUAGAUCUCCCACCCUUUGUAUACCAUACCUCUGUUGCUUUGGCGGGCCGCCUAGCUACUGGCUUCGGCUGGUACGUGCCCGCCAGAGGACCCAAAACCCUGGAUAUUAGUGUCGUCUGAGUAGAAUUUUAAUAUUUAAAACUUUCAACAACGGAUCUCUUGGCUCU
rnacentral:misc_RNA from 1 species